rnacentral:misc_RNA from 1 species
CUGUUGCCACCUCUGCCUCAGUUUGUGUUUGUCACAGUUGCACGAUAUUGCUUCACUGCACAGUCCAUCUCUUUCCUGGGUUAUCUGAUUGCCGCUUGAGUCAACACCCGCAGACGCCUCUGUGGCUGUCCGUCUUUCUGCGUCCUGGGAAAGUGAAGAAGGGUGUGUUCUCCACGGGGUGGCAGUAGCACCGGCAGCAGGAUUUGCAGCCAUCGUUGCGAGCAGAGCGCUGCUUGCAUUUGUACUCUCCCCCCCCCACUCUCUGCAUAUAUAUCCUGGGCAUUGGGCAGUGACUAGCCAGAGCACAGGCUUCUCUCGCGCGUCCGCACAACCGCAUCGCUCUUGUGCGUGCUGUUGACUCGCUGGACCACGUCGUGGGACCAUCCGCAGCCAUCUCCUUCUUUUCCUUGCUUCUCUCUGUUUCCGUCUCGUGUGCGCAUCUGUUUACUGCCCUUGCGUAAUCAUCUGCCGCGUAGCCGCCGUUCGUACGGAGCACCUCGCCAUCAUGCUCACGCGUAGCUGCCUACUUCGGGUCGCGACAACAAGCACGAAACCCACCACCAAGGACAUUGCGAAACGACCUGCCACUGCAUCUUCCGUCCCGGCCGUCUCGCCCGCUGUAGUGCGCUCCCUCUACCGCAGUCUCUACCGCGAAGUCAGCCGCCUUGACAAGGAGCCGGUGCUGAAGGUACUGUUCCCAUGCAACAACGAGCUGCAAGCGGUGCUUGGCGUCUCUGGCCCGCUGCACGUCCCGGGCCGCCAGCGGUACACAGAUGUGCUGCGCAACGUCUUCAGAGAUGCCACGCGCGUCCCGAAGAUCAACUUGGCCUUUGACACCCUCAAUCGGCUGCGUGCCCACUACGAUAAUGUCAAAGACAAGCUGCCGACGAUGGACAAGGACCGCGCACGCCUGCUCGCAUCUCUGCGAAGCCCCGCUGUGGCAGAGCGGAGAAAGAGCUUCUUUCGCGCGCAGCCUAUCAGGCCAACCCCAGGGGCAGGCCCCAGGUACGUUCAGGCUGCUCCAGGCGUGCCGACCCGCGUGGUGCUGCGCGAAGCCCGUCAUAGUCUUGACCUUAGUGAAGGUACGCUGCUGCUGGCUCACCCGCUCUCAUCGGCUCACGUGGACCGGCGCGUGAUGCUGAUCACGGAGUGUACCCCUAUUCUGACGAGCGCCCUUGUGCUGGACCUGCAGUUCACAUACCCGCUGUCUCGCGGCAACUCUAUGUUCCCGGAGGUCUUCUGGGGCCAUGACGUAUAUGAUGGCGGCUUCAGCCAGAUCGGCUUCACAAUGCCGCCGACGGCUCAGAUUGCGGUGCUGCACACGCUGGAGUCCCGUGAUACCAUCACACGCCGCAGCGAGUCGCCCUUGGGUGAGUCGUCGGUGAUGAGCUGGCUGAAGUGGAAGGGCCCACCAAGCACCAGCGGCGCCGGCGUCAGCCAUGCAGCAUCCACGUCUGCGGCAAGCUGCUCGCCUGAAGCCUCCCAAAAGCAUGGGCUAUUUUGCCGCCCACUCAUCCGUGGCGGGGUGCUGGACGACGGCGCUCGUGAGCCUACGCUCUACCUCUCCAAAGCCGAGGCUCUCCCAUACCUCGCGGAGCUCGUCGAGGGGCAGCCGCGGUCCUCGCUGCGCGUUUACUGGGGGAACAUGCGCUGGACGACGAGCCAGCUCGAGGCGGAGGUGGCGAAUGGGCAUUGGAUGGCAGUGAAGACGUCGCCCAGCUUCUUCCGCGCGUACGCUCUGUCCGCCACGAGCGACGAUGCUGCCGAGCGCUUCCCAACGGCGGCGCAGCUCGCGGAGGCGAAGCAGCUGCGGGAGAAGCGCUACGGGGCAGAUAUCACCCCUCCGCAAGUGUUCCCGCCAGACCAGAUCAUGCGCCGUCGCGAGUGUCUUUGGGACCAGAUUAUGUUCGCCUUGGGCGGGGAGUACGCAGCACUGGUGGGGUGCUCCAACCCGUUCUCCGACAGCCCACGGUGGUCGUCGCUGCAAAUUUUGGCACCGCAUAUGUCACCGCUCCCCCUCUCCACUGAGGCGGCCGAAACGGCCGCAGCGGCAGAAGCGGCAGAAGCGGGCGUCGUUGCCGCUGCCGAUGAGGCAAUGUCCAGCGAAGUUGUCCUCGACGAGGACGCAGACGAGGGCGAUGACCACGACGGCGAGGAUGAGCUUGACGAAACCGUCUUCUUGCCCGGCAGUCCUAAUAUUCUGGAGCGCAAAACGGCUGAUGCAGAACCUCAGCGAGAGGGCGACAUGGAUGAGGCACCCUCAGCACCGCUGCCGGCCAAGAAGAGUAACGGCAAACGCAAGGACGGCGACGACGGCGCCUCGUAAGCGCACGUCUUCCUGCCUGUGUGGAUGUGUUUCAUGUGUGCGUGUGCGUAAGUAUUCCCGAGGGACGAUGAUAUCUUUCACUUAUUCUGCAUACCCCAACACCCAGUGAGACAGAGUGAAACCAGACACGAUACGCGUGCGGCGUGUACACGGACACACUGGGCGCUCGCUUCCUUGCGACUGAGACGCCUCGCUGAUGUCUCACGACUCGGGAGACGGACUGGGGAGGACGACGCGGCCUGCAGCUGUGCUACAUUGCGCACGUGUAUGCAUGAGCGUUUGUGCAUGCGCCUUCUUUGCCGCACGCCAUCACCGUCCGUCUGUCCGUCUGAGCAUCACCGCUGCGUCGGUUUACACGGGCGGCACCCCUCAUGCGCGAGCAAGCUAAACGCGCACACAUUCACUCAUGUGCUCACAAGGAUACACGUCUCUGCCACCCUUCCCGUAGGUGACGCCCGCCAAGGCCGUCACCUAUAUCGUGGGAGACGAAGAUCACUGUUGUGCUCCCUGUGCCCCUUCGUCCGACCCCCUCCCUCCCACCCUCAUGUAUUUGGGUGCAUCUCGCAG